GAGUACCCCUUCAAAGUGAAAUUCGGGCGAAAAUUGAACCCAGGGUCUUUUUUGGCAUGAAGAUCCAUAAAAUAAGCCCUCCAGACCCUUCUUUUCGUUGAUAAUCGAGUAGGCUAGAGCUUGCCUGCGAAUCGAAAAAAAGUGUCUGGAGGCUUAUUUUAUCGGUCUUCAUGCCGAAAAAGAACCUGGGUUCAAUUUUUGCCAGAAUUGCCCUUUAAUUUAGCCUGAAACCAACAAACCGGCAUGUUGGUUGGGGACAGAGAGUUUGUGGUCGCUCUUCCGCUUCAUUAAGGCCCAGCACACCAUUUUCAGUCAUGUUGUCUAAAGCUUAUGAUGACAUAGGCCCAGUGGUGAGGUUGUGGUCACAGACCGCUGCGAUGAGUUUAAAGGUGGAUAUUCAAGUGAUAUUUGACUGACAUUCACUUUUGCCCCUGCAGUUUCUUAGUCAGUUUCACCAAGUGUCGGCACUAGAGGAGCUCGCUCUUAACCACAGUGGUUUCACUAAAAUGACCACAAAUGGAUCACUCUUUGAAGGCCUCAAAGAUAAUAAAAUAUGUUGUAGCAUGUAACACACCUGUGUAUUGCUAAUGUGUGCUUCAUUUAUUUUAAAUACACAUUUAAUUAGAAUAUCAUUUAAGAUUAAUAAAUAUCUUUCAUGUUCCAGUGAUGACUAGUCAAUACCAGAUAUUAUUAAUACAUUGGACAAUCAGAAAUAGCUCUUUUCAUUGGAUUUUAGAUGUUCUAUUUUAUACCAAUAUUUGAAUGGGAAUUUCCAGAAGCAGCCUGAUCCAGAGUGUCUCUCUGUCGAGUAUCCGUCGAAUCAGUCAAUUUAAAACUGCCCCCCCCCCCCGUCAACAAUCCCAACAAUUCUGCGCAUGGCUGGUAGGGGGGGGGGGGGGGGGGGGCAUCAGUACCUCUUCUAUACAGGGCCCCUCCAGCACACAGUUCUAUUCGCUACGCAUACACAUCGUCAGAAACAAGCGCUUUCACCUCUGCAUGCUCGGGUUGCGUGUCCAAUGACAGAUUGAAAGCCAAUUGUUGUUCAAUACCUAAAAAGUGUAAAUAAAAUGUGCUUAAAUUAAUUAGGCAGCCAAUAAAAUAGGCCUAUAUAUAUUAUUGUGCCUUUCUAUAAAGUGUCCGAUCUUUAUUCGAUUACAUCUUUUGGGCAUAUGGCACACGAGCCUAUAGAAUUUCUAAUUGUGACUAGAACAUAGGCUUUUAUCCAAGACUAUAUUGGCGAUUGUAUUAGCGAAUGUUACAAUAUGCAUCAGAAGUGUCAAAAAAGUAUACGUAGCCUAAAGGUUUUAUUUGUCAUGUAUUAGUGGAGCAAAAAAUAGUGUCCUCAUAUACCGAUAUUUGUGGUAUAGGCAUACAUUAAAAACCAUUUGUUGUACUCACAUCAUGUAGCCUAUUCGGCCUACCUAUUAUGUGAGUCAGUGCAUGCUAAAUGUCAAGUCAUUAAAAUAAUACGUUUUCUAAUCUUUCUUAUCUGCUUGGGGAAAGCAUACAGUUUCAAAUACACUCCACGUGUAUCACACAAUGGAAGUUAUUGAAGCCCUGCGGGUUGUUCACUUGUGGUGGUACAGGUUUCAAAGCGUAGACCGAUGAUGACGUAGGGGGAAGCCUCAGCCCUACUGGUAUAAAUACUCAAGGAUCACAGCCUAGAGUCAACAAAUUCAGGAUUCACUAUCAGUCACUCUUGAGCACCUCAUCUCACACAGACGUAUAAGAUGGCAGCCCUUAAACUAUGUAAGUAGAUCUAAAAGUGGCUGAAACAUUGUUCAUCUUCAUAAUAGUGGCGUCAUUAUGUUCUGCUUUUAACAAAUUGUUGCCUUUCUGUCUUUUUUGUAUAACCAGACUUGUCUCAGAACAUGCUUAUUCUGGCUUUUACCUGUCUGUUCUGGCUGGUGUCCUCCGUGCCAGUCACAAAAAAAGUGGAUGGAAACUGUUUACAGGACGCCCAGAAAAUGCUCUCCGUUAUCCAACAGACGUGUACAGAGAAUAACACAGUGGGCCAGCGCAACGGAUUCUGCUUAGAUACCCCGUCCCGGGAGUACUUUCUGGUGCCGGAGCUGAACCCGACCACACAGACCGAAGCAGUUUGCAGGCCCAUGGUAUCUACAUGCUCUGGAGAAUUUAACAAGGUAGGCAUAUCGACACAAAGUCUUUUGGUGUGACUGCCAUUGAAGAGGCCGGAAUAACCCUCAUCUAGCUUUUCUUCUUAGUUUUCUUAUUAUUCACUAUGUUAUUAUUAUUAUAAAUAUUAUUAUUAUCAUCAUUCUUUUUAUUUGUAUUAUUGUCAUUAUCAUUCUAGGAAUUGUGUUUUCACAAUGUGAAGCAGGAUUUGGUGUACUACAGAAAUGUCCUGUCGGAUGUCG